UUCCGUAUGUAUAUAAGUCAAGCUUCAUUUUGUGUAAAAGUAGUUGUAACUAAAUUUUGAUUUCAGUGAAAAGUUAGUUACAAUUUUCUCUCUUCUCUCUCUUCCAUCUCAAUCAUCUUUAUCCUUUUGUGCAUCAACAAAAUCUCGGACUUAACAAAAAUGGAAGCAAAUCUUAUAAUAAGUUAUAGAAUCACACACCGAAUCAAAUGAGGCAAAAUCAAACUUUUCAAAAAAAAAAAUCAUCUUAUUAUAUAAUUUUAGUUGAAGUAAAAUUUAAGUGUGUUGCUUUCCACGGGUUAAAAUAUGCUUCUUUAUCUAAGAAGAAGAGACAUUGAUUAUUAAAUUAUUUUUUUAAUUUAUUAUUUUUUUAGAGUUACAUGACACUAGCUUAAGGGUAGAAAACAUUUGUAAUUUUAGUUCAUUUUUUUUUAAUUUUUUUUUCAGGUUGAGUUUAUGUUUCCAAUUUUUAGUUUGAUUUUAACUUUUUUUUUAAUCAUAAAAAAAAUCACAAUUACAUGCAUACAUUAUUUUCGAACAAAAGAAGGCCACCAAACAAUCACAGUAAUUAACAACUUGUCACCAACUCAAUUAGUGUUUUUUUUACGGUAUACACAAAUACAAUUAAACUACGAAAAAAUUCAUGAAUUGAAACGGGUACACGACCAACUGGCCAAUGAUAGAUGUUUGCAAGAAAUGGAAGUUUUUGAUUUGUUCCCGUUAUUAGAACAAUAAAUCAAUUAGAAGGUGUUGAGAAAACUGAAAAAAAAAACUACAAUUUAUUUAAAUAACAAAGAUCAACAAACUAAUAAGAAGCUUUGUACAACAUGUUUGAUAGCAAAUAAAAGUCAUAACUCACAAGUGCAACAACAACAACAAAAGAAAACAUUGUUGAGAAAGAAUCAAGAUAGUUGAACACAUCUUGAAGAGAAAAUGGAAGAAACAUUAUGAAACAAGCCAACCACAAUCCCCAUUUUCACUUGGCCUCUCUUUGGAAUCAUACGACUCUUGUUGGUUAAAUUACUUUUGUACAUCAAAUCUCUUCUUGUUAUCACAACCAAACCCAUCUUUCCCUUCAUCUUCUUUCUUUUUUCGAUAGAGUUUCACUCACAACAAGAGUCAAGAGGUUUCUCUUUAGCUAGCUGUAUAUUGUGUAUUUUACACUUCACUUCACUUAUAUAGAAUUUUAGUGCUUGAGCUAAAACCUUAGAAUAAUUUAAUUGUAAAAAUUUUGUAUUUAUCUUCUUGAAUACGAUGUCGUUGUCACGUGGAGUUGUGGGUUUUGAAUUGUUUAUUAUUGAUGGCAAUUUUGACCUUGCUUUC
rnacentral:lncRNA from 1 species